GACGAACGCUGGCGGCGUGCCUAAUACAUGCAAGUAGAACGCACAGUUUAUACCGUAGCUUGCUACACCAUAGACUGUGAGUUGCGAACGGGUGAGUAACGCGUAGGUAACCUGCCUGGUAGCGGGGGAUAACUAUUGGAAACGAUAGCUAAUACCGCAUAAUAUUAAUUAUUGCAUGAUAAUUAAUUGAAAGGUGCAAUUGCACCACUACCAGAUGGACCUGCGUUGUAUUAGCUAGUAGGUGAGGUAACGGCUCACCUAGGCGACGAUACAUAGCCGACCUGAGAGGGGGAGCGGCCACACUGGGACUGAGACACGGCCCAGACUCCUACGGGAGGCAGCAGGAGGGAAUCUUCGGCAAUGGACGAAAGGCUGACCGAGCAACGCCGCGUGAGGGAAGAAGGGUUUCGGAUCGGAAAGCUCUGUUGUAAGAGAAGAACGGGUGUGAGAGUGGAAAGUUCACACUGUGACGGUAUCUUACCAGAAAGGGACGGCUAACUACGUG
rnacentral:rRNA from 1 species